rnacentral:RNase_P_RNA from 1 species
GCGGAGGGCUGGAUGGCCGCGGCCCCAGACGAAGGUCCGGGGUCGAGGAAAGUCCGGACUCCAGCUGGCAAGGGUGCCGGGUAAUCCCCGGCGGGGGCAACCCCAGGGAAAGCGCCACAGAGAAGAGACUUCCCUUGUUCGCAAGGGUAAAGGUGAAACGGUGGGGUAAGAGCCCACCGCGGACUUGGCGACAAGGACGGCACGGCAAGCCCCACCCGGAGCAAUGCCAAAUAGGGGCCUCGCGGCGAGGCUGGUCCCGGAUCUCGGUCCGGGAUACCGCUCGCCAGGGACGCCAGCGCCCGAGAGGCCCGGGUUGGCAGCUUGACCGCCGUGGCGACACGGUCGGCAGAGGAAUGGUCAUCCAGGGCCGCAAGGCCUGGACAAAAUCCGGCUUACAGGCCCUCCGCGCAA